rnacentral:lncRNA from 1 species
AAAGAAUAAGCAUCUACUGCAGUAAGGACAAAGCGUCGUCCUUUCCGUGGAGGAAGCGGUCCAAUGUAGCCACCCUGCCACCAAGUCGCAGCUGUAGCCAUGUCAGCUUUGGUGAGUGUCAGUGCAUGUGGUGGAGUCCAGACAGAACCUCUGCCACCAUGGCCUCCUUGUUCAUAUGCCCAGUGAGCAAUGACAGGCAUGUCGGGAAACAGCAGACCAUUCUCUACGUGAUGGUUGAAUGUCUUCUCUUCUGAAGUCACCUCUUCGGAUUUUUUGUUUUUGUUUGUUUGUUUGUUUGAGACAAGUAUCUUCACGUCCUUCACCCAUUUGGAGAGGAUAUUCCAGGUGGCAAGGGUAGACAGACACCUGCCGAAGGGGAGAGCUCCUCAGGUGAGGGAAACCGUGAGAAUCUGAGGCCUCAGAGUUCUCAGCCUCAGUUGGGUCCUCCCACACACCUCCAUCCCAAGUUACAGGAUCCCGGUCCUUAACAAUUAAACUAAUGCCCUUUAACUGCCAACACCCUCUGGGGCUGGGGCUUUUAUUUGUUAUUUUUUGUAAUUCAGCUAGCCGUAUAAUGAGUACUUCCUUUGAUUUCCUGCAACUUGAACUCCGUGGCUGCUGGAGAGAUUGCCUUCCUUCCAGGGCACACUUAGAAACCUUUUAGGCUGUCUAUGCACACAUGGGGUGCGGUCAAGUUCAUCACUAAGUUCAGUGUUGCUCUUUGCCGUAUUCUGAGAUGUUAGAAGUUGGUUAAUUUUUUAUCACAGAGUGCCUUCUUUUCCUUUGCCAGUUUAUUCAGAGAUAAGGAGCAACCAACUAGAAUCAUUUUUUCCUCCUCGCAAGUAGUCUAGAAGUUUUAUAUAGUCGCCAAAUCCAUUGUCUCUCACAAUUGGUAAAUCAGGAUAAUCAAAUGCAUUUGUCACCUUUGUCAAAUAGUUCACACCGCAGGCUUUCAUUACUCUCCUGGCUCCCAGGAGAGGCAUCAUCAGGUGGAGAGAUUUCGGUAACUGUAGGUGUUGGCAAAUUGGAAAGCCUAUUCCAGAUACCUAAGAAAAUUUAUCCGUCUAUUGCUCUAGAACCGCUUCUGGUACCAAAAUGUGUAUUAGGGUUCUCUAGAGUAACAGAACUAAGUGUUUUAUGUGUGUGUGUGUGUGUGUGUGUGUGUGUAAAGAGGAUGUAUUAAAGAGGCUC